CUGGCGGCAGGCCUAACACAUGCAAGUCGAACGGUAACAGGAAGCAGCUUGCUGUUUCGCUGACGAGUGGCGGACGGGUGAGUAAUGUCUGGGAAACUGCCUGAUGGAGGGGGAUAACUACUGGAAACGGUAGCUAAUACCGCAUAACGUCGCAAGACCAAAGAGGGGGACCUUCGGGCCUCUUGCCAUCGGAUGUGCCCAGAUGGGAUUAGCUAGUAGGUGGGGUAACGGCUCACCUAGGCGACGAUCCCUAGCUGGUCUGAGAGGAUGACCAGCCACACUGGAACUGAGACACGGUCCAGACUCCUACGGGAGGCAGCAGUGGGGAAUAUUGCACAAUGGGCGCAAGCCUGAUGCAGCCAUGCCGCGUGUAUGAAGAAGGCCUUCGGGUUGUAAAGUACUUUCAGCGGGGAGGAA
rnacentral:rRNA from 1 species